rnacentral:rRNA from 1 species
UUAAGCGACUAAGCGUACACGGUGGAUGCCCUGGCAGUCAGAGGCGAUGAAGGACGUGCUAAUCUGCGAAAAGCGUCGGUAAGGUGAUAUGAACCGUUAUAACCGGCGAUGUCCGAAUGGGGAAACCCAGUGCAAUUCGUUGCACUAUCGUUAACUGAAUACAUAGGUUAACGAGGCGAACCGGGGGAACUGAAACAUCUAAGUACCCCGAGGAAAAGAAAUCAACCGAGAUUCCCCCAGUAGCGGCGAGCGAACGGGGAGCAGCCCAGAGUCUGAAUCAGCUUGUGUGUUAGUGGAACGGUCUGGAAAGUCCGACGGUACAGGGUGAUAGUCCCGUACACCAAAAUGCACAGGCUGUGAACUCGAAGAGUAGGGCGGGACACGUGGUAUCCUGUCUGAAUAUGGGGGGACCAUCCUCCAAGGCUAAAUACUCCUGACUGACCGAUAGUGAACCAGUACCGUGAGGGAAAGGCGAAAAGAACCCCGGCGAGGGGAGUGAAAAAGAACCUGAAACCGUGUACGUACAAGCAGUGGGAGCACCUUCGGGUGUGACUGCGUACCUUUUGUAUAAUGGGUCAGCGACUUAUAUUCUGUAGCAAGGUUAACCGUAUAGGGGAGCCGCAGGGAAACCGAGUCUUAACUGGGCGUUAAGUUGCAGGGUAUAGACCCGAAACCCGGUGAUCUAGCCAUGGGCAGGUUGAAGGUUGGGUAACACUAACUGGAGGACCGAACCGACUAAUGUUGAAAAAUUAGCGGAUGACUUGUGGCUGGGGGUGAAAGGCCAAUCAAACCGGGAGAUAGCUGGUUCUCCCCGAAAGCUAUUUAGGUAGCGCCUCGUGAAUUCAUCUUCGGGGGUAGAGCACUGUUUCGGCUAGGGGGUCAUCCCGACUUACCAACCCGAUGCAAACUACGAAUACCGAAGAAUGUUAUCACGGGAGACACACGGCGGGUGCUAACGUCCGUCGUGAAGAGGGAAACAACCCAGACCGCCAGCUAAGGUCCCAAAGUCAUGGUUAAGUGGGAAACGAUGUGGGAAGGCACAGACAGCCAGGAUGUUGGCUUAGAAGCAGCCAUCAUUUAAAGAAAGCGUAAUAGCUCACUGGUCGAGUCGGCCUGCGCGGAAGAUGUAACGGGGCUAAACCAUGCACCGAAGCUGCGGCAGCGACACUAUGUGUUGUUGGGUAGGGGAGCGUUCUGUAAGCCUGCGAAGGUGUGCUGUGAGGCAUGCUGGAGGUAUCAGAAGUGCGAAUGCUGACAUAAGUAACGAUAAAGCGGGUGAAAAGCCCGCUCGCCGGAAGACCAAGGGUUCCUGUCCAACGUUAAUCGGGGCAGGGUGAGUCGACCCCUAAGGCGAGGCCGAAAGGCGUAGUCGAUGGGAAACAGGUUAAUAUUCCUGUACUUGGUGUUACUGCGAAGGGGGGACGGAGAAGGCUAUGUUAGCCGGGCGACGGUUGUCCCGGUUUAAGCAUGUAGGCUGGUUGUCCAGGCAAAUCCGGAUAAUCAAGGCUGAGGUGUGAUGACGAGGCACUACGGUGCUGAAGUAACAAAUGCCCUGCUUCCAGGAAAAGCCUCUAAGCAUCAGGUAACAUCAAAUCGUACCCCAAACCGACACAGGUGGUCAGGUAGAGAAUACCAAGGCGCUUGAGAGAACUCGGGUGAAGGAACUAGGCAAAAUGGUGCCGUAACUUCGGGAGAAGGCACGCUGGUGUGUAGGUGAAGUCCCUGCGGAUGGAGCUGAGACCAGUCGAAGAUACCAGCUGGCUGCAACUGUUUAUUAAAAACACAGCACUGUGCAAACACGAAAGUGGACGUAUACGGUGUGACGCCUGCCCGGUGCCGGAAGGUUAAUUGAUGGGGUUAUCCGUAAGGAGAAGCUCUUGAUCGAAGCCCCGGUAAACGGCGGCCGUAACUAUAACGGUCCUAAGGUAGCGAAAUUCCUUGUCGGGUAAGUUCCGACCUGCACGAAUGG